rnacentral:rRNA from 1 species
UACGGGGGGAGCAAGCGUUGUUCGGAAUUACUGGGCGUAAAGGGCUCGUAGGUGGCCAACUAAGUCAGACGUGAAAUCCCUCGGCUUAACCGGGGAACUGCGUCUGAUACUGGAUGGCUUGAGUUUGGGAGAGGGACGCGGAAUUCCAGGUGUAGCGGUGAAAUGCGUAGAUAUCGGGAGGAACACCAGUGGCGAAGGCGACUUCCUGGCCUGUUCUUGACGCUGAGGCGCGAAAGCUAGGGGAGCAAACGGG